rnacentral:rRNA from 1 species
GAACCUGCGGAAGGAUCAUUGUCGAAUCCUGUCCAAUAAAGGCCCGAACGACCCGAGGACUUGUGAGAACCACUCGACGUCCGACCCGGGGGGGGACGCGGCCAGCCGCAGCCCCUCUCCCGCGGGCGCCAACAACAAACCCCGGCGCAAAUCGCGUCAAGGAAUUGGAAGAAGGGCCCCCUCGCGCCGGAAACGGUCGGGCGGGGCGCGCGCACGUCGUUCGUCAUACGAAACGACUCUCGGCAACGGAUAUCUCGGCUCUCGCAUCGAUGAAGAACGUAGCGAAAUGCGAUACUUGGUGUGAAUUGCAGAAUCCCGUGAACCAUCGAGUUUUUGAACGCAAGUUGCGCCCGAAGCCGUCAGGCCUAGGGCACGUCUGCCUGGGUGUCACGCAACGUCGCCAGACCCCCCCUUGAACCCCCUUCGGGGAGGCGGGGGAAGGCGGAUGCUGGCCUCCCGUGCGCUCCCGCUCGCGGUUGGCCCAAAACAUAGACCCUCGGCGAUGGUUGCCACGGCACGCGGUGGUCGGAACCAAAGGCUCCUCGAAAACCGUCGUGGGCAAACCCUCGUCGAUGGGACCGACAGACCCACGCACGCGACCCCAGGUCAGGCGGGAACACCCGCU